GAAGUUUGCAUAUACGCCAUCUUCCAAAUCUGGAGUCAAUUGCAGAAGAUGGGGGUUUGCCUCCCAACCUCCGAUAUUUUAGCAUUCAGAAUUGUGAGAGACUGAGGGCUUCAUCUUCAUCAGUGGGAGACUACUGUAACUGGGGUUUGCAAGCACUCGUCUCCCUUGAAGAAUUUAAAAUUGGUGGCAGGGGAAGUGAUGAAAUCUUGGAGACGUUGCUCAAGCAACAGCUGCUCCCUACCACUCUUCGCACUCUCUGGAUCGAGGAACUUUCAACUCUGAAAUCUUUGGAUGGAAAGGGACUUGCACACCUUACUGUUCUUCGAAUAUCUACUAUUAGGUGUAAAAGUCUGGAAUUCCUGCCAGGAGAGACACUUCAACACCUCACUUCUCUUCAACAGCUAUAUAUUAAUGACUGUCCAAAUCUCCAAUUCCUGCCAGAAAAGGCACUUCAACACCUCACUUCUCUUCAAAAGCUAUAUAUUUAUGACUGUCCGAGUCUCCAAUUCCUGCCAGAAGAGGGUCUGCCGCCAUCUCUUUCUUAUCUGAGCAUCUCCAAGUGUUCUGCCCUGGAGAAAAGGUAUCAGAAUAAGACAGGACAAGAUCAUUGGGCCAGCAUAUCUCACAUUCCAUUCAUCAAGAUAAAUCAUAUGAUGAUAUGACCCUCUCUCUUUAUUGCCUUUGGAUAUUUCACUCUCAACUCUCAAAUCAAACUCAGGUGAGGACAGCACCUUCUCUUGGAAAGCUUUUCAUUUGCAAGGUUCCUUUACGUGUCAUUUCCAAGAAGUAUCUUGCUGAGCUGAGGUAUGGAAACAGAAAGCACUUUGGUUAACAUCCAUAUUGAAUAGUGGUGAGAAGAAACAGGAUUUCACAAUCGGAUGCUGAACCUGAACACAUAAUGUAUCAGAAAACACAUGAAGGUAUCAAUGUUGGGGACCUCUAAUCACUGUCACUUUUAGCUUGUAUGUCUCAAACACCGAAUUUGAAGUUCACCGACAAUUUCUUAGAAGCUUAUGAGAGCUCUUUUUAUUUGCGAGGUGUCUUUACAUGAGCUUAUUUGCAAGGUUUCAUCCACACAAUUUGAAGUUCACCGACAAUUUCUCAGAAGCUUAUGACAUUAUUGCGUUGUGUCCAAAAGUGACAUACUAAUGUAGGAGAUUAGAAUUCCCACCUCACGAGAUGUUGCUCAAAUUGACAUCGCUCGAGUUUUUGUGUGUACAAAAUAGCUGUGAUUCAAUGAGGUCGUUCCCGUUGAGCCUUUUUCCUAAACUCUCGGUUCUUAUAAUUUGGGAGUGAGAAUCUAGAAUCCCUUUCCAUUGAAGAAAGAGUUGAUGAGAAUCUCAGUCAUCUCAGUACCUUGUCUAUCAAUGACUGUCCAGAACUGGUGUCUUUUUCCCAAUGCAUUCACACCCUCACAGCACUGGAGAUGACUGAACUUCCAAAUUUAGUGUCAUUUGCAGAAGGCGGUUUAUUUCUGCAUUCAAAAUUUUGACAGACUGGGGCUUCAGUGGGAGAGUACUGGGGUUUGCAAGGCCUCUUCUCCCUUCAACACUUUUCAAUUGGUGGCAGGGGAAGUGACGAUUUCUUGGAGACGUUGCUCAAGGAACAGCUGCUCCCACUCUUCACUCUCUUCACAUCUGGGGACUUUCAAGUCUGAAAUCUUUGGACGGAAAGGGACUUGGACACCUCACUUCUCUUGAAGAGAUAUAUAUUAGUGAGUGUGACAGUAUCCAAUUCCUGCCAGAAGAGGGUUUCCCGCCAUUUCUUUCGUUUCUGAGAAUCUCCAACUGUUCUGGCCUGGAGAAAAGGUGUGAGAAUAAGAAAGAUUGGACAAGAUUGGGCCAACAUAUCUCACAUUCCUUGCCUCGACAUAAAUGAUAUUGCUUUUCAAUAUUUCACUCUCAACUCUCAAAUCAAACAAAGGUAUGUACUUCAAAUAACUGCUUUAACUGGUAUAUAGCCUUUUGUUUUUCUACAAAAACAAUUGUCACGAUGUGGAGAAACGGAAAGGUUCACCUGGAAUAUUCAAUUGGCACAUUCUUACAUACAGGCACGGAGUGUACAGCAUUUUUUGGUCUAGCUUAUCCAGUAGAUAACUUGUCC